AAAAACAAGUUUGUUACGCUACAGAAAUGCUCUACACGGCUGCCAUUGUAAAUCUAUGGGGGACUGUUGUUUGUAAAUCUAUGGGUGACUGUUGUUUGUAAAUCUAUGGGGGACUGUUGUUUGUAAAUCUAUGGGAGACUGUUGUUUGUAAAUCUAUGGGUGACUGUUGUUUGUAAAUCUAUGGGGGACUGUUGUUGUUUCACUCUGUACAUCUGUCUAUAGGACUACUAUACAUCCAGCUAUAAGUCUCCCUCAGACAGCGAGAUGUUCAGCAGUGACACUUUUAACUUACAGACAGCGAAAUGUUCAGCGGCGAGACUUUUAACUUCCAGACAGCGAGACGUUCAGCGGUGACACUUGUAUUCUAUCUUACAGCCACCUAGAUGUUCAGUGGCGGCACUUUUAUUCUAAUAAUCUUAGUCAGCUUGAUGUUCAGCGGCAACAGUUUUAUCUUACAGCUGGCAACACUUUAAUUCAAUCUGUUAUCACGUAUAUACAUUUUUUGUUUUUAUUUUCAUCACAUACUUCACUAUAUUUCAUUAUUUCUACUUUGUGGACAUUGAGCCUCUUACAUGUCAGAGUAUAAUCAGUGCCCAUAACUGUAUAUUUCCUACAGAGAACUAAUUCAUAAUCCUGAGUGGAGAGAGAUGUACAACCCCGUGUUUGUGUGCAGAUUCAUCAGCUUGUAAUCCUGUCUGCGGAGAUCAAGAGGAAGGAGUAACCUGACCAUGUGUCUGUAUGUUUGUGUGCGGGUUCAUGCUACAUUUAUAUACAUCAGGCGAUGCCCACAUGGUGAGGAGAUGCCCUGAUUCACAGAUCCCUCAUUCUAUAAUGUAAUUAAUACAUGUCACAAAGUAUAUUUUUAAAAACUUUUCAGUCAUCUCUUUGGGCUGAGCAGGUUUUGGGAUAUAUUGUUUUCUUUAUGUAUGGUAUUUGCCUCUCACAGUACUCUGGCAGUAGAUGCCUCUGUGAUGGAGCCCUGCUGCUAUGUAUUAUAUGCUGGCUAUGUAUCAACAACACAACAGAUUUAUCAAAACCCAGCCCACUCCAACAACCCACAAAUCAGACUCCAUUGUGAAAACAGCACUCUAUACUGUCCUGAUGGGAACUGAACAUGCAUUGCUUCAGCACCUGACUGUAACCUCUCUAGGAUAAAGACUGAGGCAUGAUGAUCUGAAUAAACUCCACACACAUAAAAAAAAUAAACAAGGUAUAUCUAAUGCUUCCACAUGUGGUGUUCCCUACAAGCAUCCUAAGCUAGGAUUACCCUCCACCAAGAAGGACUCUCCAUUUCAAGCCUAUCGUUUCAUCAAACCUAGGUUAUUGCAGGUGCCCUGCCUCACCUGCACAAGAUGCAUUCUCAAUGUGCCAAUAAAACAGACAAAACAGAGAGAACAUCAAGUCAAAGGCUACUCAUGAAUAUGCAAAUCCUUAUCAGCAGUGUCCUUUUCUUUUCAGCCAUGCUCCCCCUCCUUUUUUUUGAAGAACCCAAAGGCCUGAAUGAUUACAACUCAAAGACAGAGGGGUGAAUUAAUGACAAAGAACAUUCCUGACUGAGGUGACAGCGAACAGGUAAAUCGAUACCAGAAACCCCGCCACCUUAUGUUCACUAAUUCCCGUUGCUACGGACUUGACUACAUUUUGAGGAAAUACAGAGACAUCAGGUGUACAUCCUUUGCAGACAUUUAUAGCCACGACUUCAAUGACCCCUGCGCUAAAUCAUUCUACAUUAUUCUCGUCUGUCUGACCUUCACCUUGUAAACCAACACUGGUAUUAUUUCUUUUCUUGUCAGGCUUCCAAGAAAGCAAAUAUUUUUGCUGCGCUGAGUGCCGAGUGGGAAUGCGCUGGAUAAGUAAACAGUUAUCAAGAAAUCAAUAUGGCCACCACUAACAAAGUGCAUUCAUCAGGCAAUUAACCCCAAAGGAACUAUCUCUUCUGGGAUGAUGUCUAGAUCAACAAAAUUCAGAUUGCUGAGGAUUUUAAUUCUGUUGCUAUGCAGAUCAAUGGUGGGGGGCUGACUCAUCAACACUGUGAAAUUCCCUGACAACUGACCAUUGGAGGAAGCCCACCAAUAUCAGCCAUUGAAUCGACUACUCUCAUUAAAAACCUCCAGCCAGAUUUAUGUUGUCAUAAAAGUCUGUACUCAUUAAAAGUCUAUAGCAAACUAGCAGCCCUCGUUACUGGCAGAAAAGUCUGCAGCGUUCCUAACAUUAAUGGUUAUUUAUAAUGCAUAUUUUAGUACAGGAAUUCAUUGGUGUUUCACAAAUUACUGUUGCACAAGUCAAUCUUCACCAAAAAAAUGCAAAGAGCUGCUUUAUAAUUUGAAAAUGAGGUUGAUGUUGCCGAGCUGUGAUAAUGGUGUUCACACUUAGAUGCUUGGUAUGCGUUUAUUAAAUCCUAAUGACUGAGGAAAACUUUUCCUGAUUAAAAAGAUUGAAAAACAUCACCUCAGCGCACCUAGACAUUAUGGUUACUAUGGCAACAUCUUAACAGGUGAAUUCUUGGGAUUUAGCCCCAACAGAAUGCAUUAUCAGAAAAUUGCCAUAGUGAUUAAUACCAACUUGGAGUAAAAGUUCCAAAAGAUGUCCUGAUGAAUAUAAAUCACAGCUAGAUACAUUGUAUGUGUAUAUACAUCAAAAGUCUAGAGUUCAAGCUUCUGGAUUGUGGAGUGUUUGUAAACACCAGGUGUUUUUUUAAAAUGCACACCCUGAUAACAAAGUGAACUUUUAUAUAUCACCAGUGAUCAUUGAAGUGGUGGUACAUGUGGGUGUGUGGAGCAGUCAUUUAUAUCAGCAGACGACUGUUCUCUACCUGAAUAACACAGGACAUCAUGAAAUCCGAACUCUCCAUUACUUGUCAAGGAACAACACUCCUACCUCAUAGUCUGUGUAGGCUGGUCCCCCUGAGGGACCCAGACUGUAGGAACCAGUAAUCAGAGCUGAGAGAUGUUCCUCCAAUCUGUUGCUAAUGGUCCUCCACUAUCAGGGCCGGUAUGGAUUCCAGUCUCCUGAGGGCCAUCACACACACCAUAUUAUAAUCAAAGACCAUCACUUCACUUAAUGGCUCAACCGCAAUUAGGGACCAGCAGCCAUCAGGUCUUGUUACUUUAUGACAAAACAGGUAGCAGGGCUCUAACCACUCGCUAAAUGCCUAUGAUAUCAGAGUAUAUAUAUAAUUCAAUUCUAACUGCAUACUACCAUGUUUUGUUUUCUCAGAAACAGGAUAUUUCGUGGUGUCACACUGCUCUGGUUUAAAUGACAGGUGUAUGAUAUAUAAGUAGAAUACCUGUAGAGACUUCACUGUGGAGCAACCUGCUGAUGAUGUAUGUCUAUAUUGAUUUUUUAUAGACUUUCAGUAUUAAAGGAAACACAGGUGUUUUACUGGUAACUUCCGCCUGCAGCUGUUUACAACUGUGACCACUAGUCUGUAGUUCUCGAGUGCGACUGUCAUGAUUGUUUGACUAUGCAACAUUACUAUGUGCUUCUGUGGCGAUAGUUCAAGAUGACAAUUAUGACACAGGAGAAUGUUUUCAUGUGACAUCUUUAAAAUCAAUGUUCCAUCUAUCUCUUUUUAUGUGCCAAUCUAUUUAAGAUUUCAGCAUUUUCAAUAUCAUUUGCGCAUGCUAAUUCAUGAUCUUCAAAUAAAAGUGCAUUUUUUUUGGACCAAUUUUUUGAAAAAUAAAUCCAUGGCAAUAUCUG